ACCAACGUUAUAUUUCAGUUUAAACUUUAAACAAAGUUGUUUGUGAUGGUUUUCACAUUAAUUCACUAAAUUAUCUUUCCUCCGCUGUAUUUGUUGAAGGAACGGGCAUCAAACAUAACAGCUGUGGCGUUGGAUAAGCAUAUGAAAUGAAUAUUGAGUUUUUCGUUAUCUUCGGACUCAGAUUUAAUGCAUUUUGUCAAAUUUAAUUACGUUUCGUCAAGAUUGACAUCAUGAACAUGGUUGCUAGUGGAUUACCGGGGAUCAGCUUCAGAGAUUAAGGGAUCGGAAAUUACAGAUAAAAACUCUUUUUUUGCCAUUGAAAAUACGGAAGAAAAGAAAUGAAAAGGAAAUAACUCACGUUCCGAGCAAAAGAGAAGGGAGAUCGGAAAGACGCAUUUAGAUGAUGCUUUGCAGGGUUCUUAGGGGGUUCUAAGCAUGAUGCUUGGGGUUCCUAAGCAACAACCAAUAAAUAAAGGUUUAGGCGAAAGAUUGGAUCAUUUGAAAUGAACUGAAAUUGUUGAUCAAAUGGAAAUUCACUCCAAGUAACCCGAUGCAUCCCUAAGUGAAGUUUGGUUACUAUCUGCUGUAGUUUAGAGACUCGAACUCCUGAAAAAGAAACAACAUACCAAGUUCCUUGUUAUCAUACAAAAAAAAUUUAACAAUUGCCACUUUGGCCAUUUGUUAGCCUAUCUUAGGUCUUUUCACUGAAUUUUCUUGGAAGAGGACUGGAGAAAUAAUCGUAACAACACAAAGUUAUUGAACUGACAACGAAAGCUAAAUUAUUUAGCGCAAUAUUAUGCCUUACACAAAAUAUAACCACACUCACAGCACAA